rnacentral:rRNA from 1 species
GACGUAGGGUGCAAGCGUUGUCCGGAUUUAUUGGGCGUAAAGAGCUCGUAGGCGGUUUGUCGCGUCGGCCGUGAAAUCUCCACGCUUAACGUGGAGCGUGCGGUCGAUACGGGCAGACUUGAGUUCGGUAGGGGAGACUGGAAUUCCGUGGUGUAGGCGGUGAAAUGCGCAGAUAAUCAGGAGGAACACCGGUGGCGAAGGCGGGUCUCUGGGCCGAUACUGACGCUGAGGAGCGAAAGCGUGGGGAGCGAACAGG